CACUGCUGGCCGCCCAGUCGCCAGGGAGAGUGAAUACAGCUAGGGACGUGAAAGGCAGAGACUUCCCCUUCAAGCUUUGCAAGAGUUGGAGAUGUUUGCAUUCUCUUCAUAUUAUUGAUUUCUAGUCUGACUCCAUUAUGAUCAGAGAACACACUCCCUGUAAUCUGAUUUUUAAAAUUUGUUGAAAUUUGUUUCAUGGCCUAGGAGAUGGUCUAUCUUACUAUAUGUUCCAUGAGUCCUUGAAGAGAAUGCAUAUGCUGCUGCCAUUGACUAGCUGCUGCCGUUGACUAAAUUACUCUACAAAUGUCAA
rnacentral:lncRNA from 1 species